GGAGAUGUCACUCAGUGGUAGAGCACUUGCCUAGCAGUACAUGGCCUGGGUUCAAUCCCCAGCACCA
rnacentral:tRNA from 1 species